GGCCGGCUAGCUCAGUUGGUUAGAGCGUGGUGCUAAUAGCGUGUGAUAAUCUUGUCACGUAACUACGCCAAGGUCGCGGGUUCGACCCCCUCGCUGGCCA